UCAUUGUUGGCUUCUUAUCAGUGGUAGAAUGCUCGCCUGCCACGCGGGCGGCCCGGGUUCGAUUCCCGGCCGAUGCA